ACGGUUUAUUGGUCACGCAUGGCGCGGAUCGAUGGAAAGACGCGACCGCUCCCGGCACUCGCAUGGGAGCAAAUGGCGCCUGACUGCCGGCGGGAUAGGGCUUUAUAGAGGGGCGGGGCGAGAGGAUCCACGGCCUGCCGGCCAAUAGGGGCGGCUGCCGUGGCGGUGACGUCAGCAACAGCGACCAACCAGAGAACCCCGCAGGGGCGGGCACCGAGCCUUGGGCUGAGCGGGACCGUGUGGCUCGGGGCGGCCAGCACGGGGUUUCCCGGGGCCGGACGGCAGGGUGGUUACAGGAGCGGCACAGGGAAUUCUCACCUGCAAGAAGGCAAAACAGUCUAAAGUGAAGAAAAAAAUAACUGCUGGAAUGAAUAUUUAAUGACUUCUUCAAGAAGUUAGCACAGGAAGGGAGAAGAACAAAGUUUGCCCUUCAAAGACUGCUCUUGUAUAAGACCAGCUACAUUGAUAGAAUACCACAGAAACAAAAGAAAACUUCCACAGUCAAGUGCUGCUUGCUUGGGCUGCUUUGUUCCUCAGAAGUCCUUUUUCAGGCAGCACCUCAUUGCUGCAACAAAUUAAUCACCAAAGCCCAGGUCUGGUAAUGAAGUGCUAUGGAUUUGAAAGAGUUUGAAAGACAUCUACAUCUAUUACCUGAAAGAAAAAUGAGACUUGCUCUGCUCAAGCUCCACAUCCCUCUGGACAGGAAGAGUCAGCAACUCCUCUGUAAAGUGGUGUUAGUCCAAACUCCUUCUCGUGAAGAUGGAUCAAGUGCAAGAAAUCAUCCACAACCAAAUAGAACAGCUCACUUCGGGCAGAAUGGAUACUUUGAGACUGAGAUGGAGUUUGGCCCUGACGCAGGAGCUCAGUUAUGGCAAUUUUGCUCUGAAUCCCUGAAGUUACCCUAUUUUUCUUUCAAUUAAAAUUACUGCAACAGAAAGCAGAAUCAAUGCCAAGUAGAUUGUAUUACUGACACAGCAAUUGGGAGCUCAUAGCAAAAAUGCAUCCCCUACCCUUUUAUUGGAAAUUUAUCUCCCAGCAAUAAAGAA